GUUUGUUAGAAGUGGCUACUGGUUAUAAGUCGAUCGUAUAGAGUAAGUUCUUUGCCAUAUAGUUCUUUCGACAUCUCGACGAAAAUACAUUUUUGGAAAAGUGUUGUUUGUGUAGAAAAAGCCAUAGGAAAUUAGUGAAUGAUAUUUAUUUUUAGGUAGAUAUUGUGUUAAUUAUUUCAUACAAGUGUUUGGCAAUUGUUGUAUCAUCAUGAAAAAAAUUGACAAAACAAUUUAAAAUUUCUUGUUUUUGGUAUCUUUAUACUUACAAGAUAAAAGAAUGAAUGGUGUGAUGGACCGAACACCUCAAAGCCAUUGUUCUG